AAGCGCCAGGGAAAACCUGCGCCCACAUUUGAUGCAUAAACAGAACCCGGCACAGGUGCGCAUCCGGGCCGGCUCCGGCCCCGCCGCAAUUCAUCAGCUCCCAACAAAUGCUUCUUUAUAAUCAGGAAAUAGAAACCCUCUCUGGCCGAGCGGAGAAGGCUGAGCGCGCUCCUCCCACCUUUCCGGGCCGCUGCGCAAGGGGCGGACUCCAGGCGGGGCGGCUUCAUAAACCAGAGGAAUUUGGAGCGGAACAAGCCAGGGGCUGUGGACCUGGAUUCGCCACUUUGGGGUGCCAUGUCCGCCCCUCCCCCCAGCUCUGGGGGUCACCGGAGGUCAGAGAUCCUUCUCCCAAGGUGCCUCUUCGCAGCUGGACUCUCCCUGGUGACAGGGACAGAGGCAUCUCGCUGAAUCCCACACCAACCGUCGACACGUCUGGUAAUGUUCACAAGAGACCUAGUGGUCUCAGCCCACUUUUCAGCAAGAUUUAAUAGCACAAGACGACUGUGAGGCCUCAAGCUACCGGGAAGAGAAGUGUUUGCAAACCUGUGGUUUGGAGAAAGCUGCGCUCAAAACAACUAUUCAGAUUUUAAUUUACAGCCUGCGGAUUUGCAGGGAAGAAGAUUUCUGGUAAAAUGGCAAUUAAUGGGAUUUUAUCCCCAAGCCUAAUUCAUUUCUUGCCUUUUAACUCCUUUGCCGCUGUCUCUUCGGGCCACUACCUUGGCUGGCAGGAUCAUUUCACCCAUGAAUGAGGUCAUGCAUUCAUUCAUUCAUUCAACAAACAUCUACGAAGCAGAGACCAUGUACAGGCAUUGAACUAGGUUCUGGGAGUGAUGGAUGAAUAAGACUUCCAUCUCUGCCCUUGAGGAAUGGGGUGCCUAGUGGGGAGAGAUGAGCAUUAUAAGCACAAGGUUCAUACUAGAAGCAUGGUGGGUGCCACAGGUGGAGAGAGGAGUCUUGGUUGCAAAUCUGUAGUUCAAUGACCAAAUCCCAGCCCCUAGAUUGGUUUUCCUUGGACUGUGGAGCCUUAACAAAAAUGUAGCCAGCAUUUGGAUAUACUGAACGAUUUCCCAAAAUAGAUCACGACUUUGGCUUCUCUUGAAUCAUCUGAAGAUCGGGCUAUUGGGGGCUUGUGUUUGGAGACAACAAGAGUGUAAGUGGCGCUGAGUACUGGCUGCCCCCUUUUGAUGGGACUUGCACUUGUCCAGCUAGUUAGAGUGACCAGGAUGUCCGCACCGUGCAUCUGUGCCCUUUAUCAGGCCAUCUCCCCCCCGGCAGCCGGCAGUGUUUGAAUGGAGAGGCAGAGAGGGAUGAAUCCCUUCACUAGGUAGGGCAGUAUCUAUGUGUCAUCGUCCCAGGUGCUUGACUCAGGUCCACAAGCUCCUCCGUGACCUGGCCUCUUUUUAUCCGGCUGUUUCUAGUAGUCGCUCCCAAGCACCCGAAUCUUCUGUCUCCUAUGCCCACUGGCACUUCUGGGAAUGGACCCUGCUGUUUUGUAUCCCAGAAGCUGUGCUGUCUACUUGGCUAGCCUGCAGCCACAUGUGCAUAUUUAAGUUACAGUGAAUCGAAACAAAAUAAAGUAAAAUAUCA
ensembl:lncRNA